UGUGGGGGAGUUCAGGCUGGAGCUGUUUUGUGGUUUGUUGUGUUUUAUCCACUGGUAAGCAAUUAUUUGACAUUGGGAAAAGGAGCCUUUAACUUUGUUAUGAAAUGAAAUUAGGCCAGGGAGCCCAGCAUUUGGAAUGGGCACCUACUCCUGCAUUUAUAAAGCAAUAAUACACUAAACAGGAUAGAUGCCGCUUGACUGUAUCGCAAACCAUAGCGUCCCAGCGUCCACUAGAGGGUGUGUUAGGUAAUGGUGAAAUAGCAAGUCAGGCCAGGGGUGGGGAUGGAGAUGAGAGGGAAGAGAAGUUAUUGGACUCAGACCAGCACCUCCUACUGGACUGUCAGGUUUUGCCAAGCUAGUCCAAUCCUUGCAAGGGAGAGAAGAGUGUGUUGCUAGAGCAGCAUUAGCAAAAAACGUAUUCACCCCGUCUGAUAACAAACUGAUUCAUUUAGCAUAUCCUGUGCAUGGCUCAGUUUGCUGCUGGCGCUCAUGAGCCAGCUUUUUCUCUUGCAGUAUGUCUCUGUUGCUAAGUUGUCACAAAUCCUACAGGCAGGUGCAAAUUCCCACCUGGCAAAGGCCUGUUGUCUUGUGCAAAUGGGAAAUGUCCUUUCACUGUUGACGGAUCCCAAACACAGUCAUGCUGUUAUUUACAUGAGCAGGGCAUGUUUGAGUCCCAGUUUUAAAGCUUUGUGUUUUAUGUAGUUGGUGGAUGGGUAACUCUUAUGGCCUUCAAAGGGAAAAACAGGAUCAUGUUAGGAGCUGUGCUACCUGCAUCUCUCUGCAUAGCAUGCAGAGCCUGUUUUGGCACAGGGGAGGAGAGUGUUGCAGACCCAUGUGAAUAGUGUUUAAAAACGCUGAGCAAUUACACGAGCUGAUUGGAGACAGCACUUUGCUGCAAAAGUGAUGGAUCUGUCUGACUGACGUGUCCACCUGGCGCUCAUGCCGGAAUUCUUCCGAACCAGGGCCAUUGGGUAAGCAGUAAGAGGAUGUCUGCAAAGUGUAAACAGAAAUAAAGUGGAAAGUAAGGUUGGUUUGGUGGCAUUAGCAUGAUAAUGACAAAACUUGGGGAGAGGAGCCAGCUGGGCCAAGACAAGGAGUUAGUUCCACAGUUGUUUCUGGUGGUGUUUCAGUGUAAGUGUUGCUUUGCCUGUUUCUGCAGUAGCCAGCAAGAAGCAUUGGAGAGAAUGGGGAUGAAAUGCACCUGCAAAGAAAGCUUGAUGGGAAAGAGCUGUUUGUCUGUAGCAUGUUUCAGAUGUUGUGCAAAGGGGGGGAGCAAAUUAAAAGCCUAGGUUCAUUUAGCAGCACCCAACGGUGCCUCUACCCUAAUAAUAAAUGUACUGUUUUUCAGCAACAACCAGCAAUGUGCAGCUGCAGCACUGUUAAGCCACUGGCACAGGCAUUUCUGACCUCUUGACCACUGUGUCAUGCAUGAUGGGCAAGGUGCCUGAACCCUGGCUAUAGUAGUGCUGAUACCAUUGCUCCCACCAGUGCAGCUGUGGGAGUUGCUGUAAUACUUCCCUUAAUUUUUCUAGUCAAGGUCAGGAAGUGAUGGCAAGCUUUUUAAAAUUUGUGCUGUGUGGCUGAAUGAGGUGCAGCAGGCUUUGUCCUUAGAGGUGUUUCAAUCACUGGCUGAAAUUGUCAGUGAUGCCUGAGGCAUUAUAAUUAAUGGCACUUAAGCAUCCAGAUUCCUCUAAAUGACUAAAAAUCCCUUUCUCUGAAAUAUAAAUACUACAGACUCUAUAAGAAAUUGAUAAUCUGAGUUUAAAUGGGAGAAUAACUGAAAGGAUUGCGUUAGUAGUGAAAUGAAGACAAAGUGAAGUGUAGUGGAAUAUCAAGGAGUUUCCAGGCACAUGCACCACUUUAAAAUGUGACUAAUUCCCUAGGGGCAAGUUGCAAAUGUGUCUUUGAAAAUCUUGCCUUAGCUCUCUAUCUUUUGAAUAAUCAGAGAUGGAUGUGGCACAUCCAUGAAAUUACAUUUCUUACCUAAAACAUGCCAUAGAAAUCUGCUGCUUCCUGUGUCAGACUGCGGGUCUGAUUUUCCCUGGUUUACAAAUAAACUAGGCUUUGUUUACCAUUAGCAUUAUCAUUUAAAUGACCUCUCCCACGCGGCUGUCCCAUUCAAAUCAGUAACACUUUUGAAACAUAUUCAGGUAUCUUUAAACACUGCUGUGCAACUUCCUUGUUCAAUUUUACAUAUUCUGAUUUCAUGAAUAGUCAUCUAAGGUAGUAAUAA